rnacentral:rRNA from 1 species
UGCCAGCAGCCGCGGUAAUACGGAGGGGGUUAGCGUUGUUCGGAAUUACUGGGCGUAAAGCGUACGUAGGCUGACUAGUCAGUCAGAGGUGAAAUCCCGGGGCUCAACCCCGGAACUGCCUUUGAUACUGCUAGUCUUGAGUUCGAGAGAGGUGAGUGGAAUUCCGAGUGUAGAGGUGAAAUUCGUAGAUAUUCGGAGGAACACCAGUGGCGAAGGCGGCUCACUGGCUCGAUACUGACGCUGAGGUACGAAAGUGUGGGGAGCAAACAGGAUUAGAUA